UAAGUACCCCCUCCAUAAACUAAUAUAAGAGUGUUUAGAUCACAAACUAAUAUAAGAGUGUUUAGAACGCUCUUAUAUUAGUUAUAGAGGGAGUAUUUGGGAUUGCUGUCUAAAGUGGGGAUGGAUAAAACAGACUAUUUUCAAUACUUGAUUGAUCGUGUCAUGCAGAGGGUGAAUGGUUGGAAAGAGAGGUAAUUAUCAUUGGGCGGUAAAGAAAUCCUUCUCAAGUUAGUUGCACAGGGGGACAGUGACAACCAAAAGAGAAUGCAUUGGAUGGCAUGGUGGAAAUUGUGUGUGCUGAAGUGCAAAGGAGGCAGAGUAUUUUCCUGAUGGAGA